rnacentral:rRNA from 1 species
GAUGAACGCUGGCGGCGUGCCUAAUACAUGCAAGUCGAGCGCAGCGGGGACGGGUGAGUAACACGUGGAUAACCUCCUAUACGACUGUGAUAAAUUUGGGUCACUGUAGCUAAACCGGAUAAUUAUAGAUGGAUCCUCGCUGCAUUCGCUAGUUGGUAAGGUAAUGGCUUACUAAGGCAACGCUGCAUAGCCGACGUGAGAGGGUGAUCGGCCACACUGGGACUGAGACACGGUCCAGAAUCCUACGGGAGGCAGCAGUAGGGAAUCUUCCGCAAUGGGCGAAAGCCUGACGGAGCAACGCCGCGUGAGUGAUGAAGGUCUUCGGAUCGUAAAACUCUGUUAUUAGGGAAGCGGUACCUAUUCAGAAAGCCACGGCUAACUACGUGCCAGCCGCCGCGGUAAUAC